rnacentral:rRNA from 1 species
GACGAACGCUGGCGGCGUGCCUAAUACAUGCAAGUAGAACGCUGAAGGAGGAGCUUGCUUCUCUGGAUGAGUUGCGAACGGGUGAGUAACGCGUAGGUAACCUGCCUGGUAGCGGGGGAUAACUAUUGGAAACGAUAGCUAAUACCGCAUAAUAGUAGAUGUUGCAUGACAUUUGCUUAAAAGGUGCAAUUGCAUCACUACCAGAUGGACCUGCGUUGUAUUAGCUAGUUGGUGGGGUAACGGCUCACCAAGGCGACGAUACAUAGCCGACCGGAGAGGGUGGUAGGCCACAUGGGGAGGGAGACACCCACCGCGCGCCUGGGGGAGGGAGCAGAGGGGAAUGGGGGGAAAUGGAGGGGAGUAGUACAGAGCAGGCGGGGGUGAGAAAAAGAGUUUUCGGGUUCGAAAAGCUGUUUUGAAGGAGAAGAAGGGGUGGGGGGUGGGAAGGUCCGCGUGGGACGGUAAUCGAUAAAGAAGGACCGGCUAACUACGUG